UAGAAAACACUUAGCGAUAUUGAGAUCUGGCUUAGAGAAACGAAAAGACGUUGAAAAAUCCUCGAGAGAACUUGGGGAAAAUUUUGAGAAAACUUUUGAUAUUUUUCGUGAAAAAUAAAGAGGAGAUGUCAUUCCCUCCCUUUAGUUUUAGACAAAAAGGGUAAUUUUGCUUAAUCGUGGCUUACCAAACCUGUUUAAAAAAUAAAUUUUUGAAAAUAUUAGUUUUAAGUUACAUAUUUUGAAUCAGUACCAUCUGAUUAUUUUACCAAAUUGAGUCAAACACAAACUCCUUAAACACAAAGAAAAUAUAAAUUUUGGCGGAAGUGAGAACUCAGAACCCUAAACUUUAAGAAUUUAAACUAAACACCUAAAGAAAAUUCCCGAUUAAAGGGGGAGAAGAAAAACCUAAAAUCCCAGUUGGCGAGUGAGGUGCAAUGGGAGUGAUAAAAGAGGGCAGAGUCUCAGGCACGUUGCCGAAAGAUGAGGCGUUUGCCAUUCACUAUCCGGGCUAUCCUAAGACCACCUCUCGCGCCAUCCAGACUCUUGGAGGAACCGAAGGGAUUCUCAAGGCUCGUAGCUCGCAGCCAAACAGAUUGGAGCUCCAUUUCCGUCCCGGGGAUCCGUACUCGCAUCCUGCAUUCGGUGAGCUUAGCCCCUGUAACAGUUUGCUGCUUAAAAUAUCGAAAAAGAAGUGUUCUAAUCGCCAAACCGCCGAAGCUUCAAGUAAGUUACAAGAGUGUUCAACAUCAGGAGUAAAUGAUGCGGAAAACCCGAAACAGCCAUUUCGAGUUGAAGUGGAGAGACCGGAAGAAGAAGAAGAAGAGGAAUCGAACCUUUGUGCUGAUAUUGUUUGUCGUGUCUCCGAAGCUUACAAUUUUGAUGGAAUGGCUGAUUAUCAGCAUGUUCUCCCUGUUCAUGCCAAUGCUGCCAGGAAAAGAAAGGGAAAUUGGGUGGAAGCAGAAGAGACAUCCUUUGAAAAGGGUGGGUUCAUGGAUGUGGAUCAAGAGGAUGUGAUGAUGAUAUUGCCUCCGCUCUUUUCACCCAAAGAUAUGCCAGAGAAUGUAGUGUUAAGACCAUCAACCAUCUUAAGUUCAAAAAAGAACCAAGAGGUAGCUGUACAUUAUAGUGCUCAGGUUGACCUAGAGCCAGGCCUUGCAAUUGAUUUCAACAUUAAAGAGGUUCCUAAGAAUGUGAACUGGGAGGAACAUAUAACCCAGGACUCAGAGCAGUGGGAGUGGCAGAUGACUGUAUCUAAGCUAUUUGAAGAACGGCCUAUAUGGCCCAAGGAAUCUGUAACUGAGCGCUUGCUUCAGAAAGGUCUAAAAUUUAGCCAUUUGGUGCUUAAAAGGCUUCUACUUGGGGUUGCUUACUACUUCUCAAAUGGACCAUUUCGGAGAUUCUGGAUCAGAAAAGGAUAUGAUCCUCGCAAAGAUCCUGAGUCUCGCAUAUAUCAGAGAACUGAUUUUCGUGUACCUGAACCAUUGCGGAACUAUGCAGAUGCUAGCGUGGCUAACAAUUUGACGCAUAAGUGGGGAGAUUUAUGUUCAUUCCAAGUAUUUCCUUACAAAUUCCAGAUGAUUUUACAACUAUUUGAACUGGAUGAUGAUUACAUUCAACAAGAGAUACGAAAGCCUCCAAAAUUAGAAACAUGCGAUCCUAAAACUGGAUGGUUCUCCGAGUGUCUGCUUGAUUGCCUGAGACUUCGUGUAGCAAUGAGGUUCUUGUCAGUAUAUCCCAAAACUGGUGCAGAAAGCAUACUGAAAUCUUGCUCUAAUGAAUUUGAGAAGUUAAAGAGGUCAUGCUUAUACAAGGAUGUCUUCAACUCUCAUCAAGAGGAGCAUCAGCAAACUAAUAAAGGUGAUGAUGAUAAAGAGAGAGCCAAAAGUUCUGAUAAUAAGGAAGAUGAAGUUGAAGCUGAGGAUGAAGAGGAAUUGGAUGCGUAUGAUGAGACACUUACUCUGGGUGAUGGGGAUGAUGAAAUCUCUUUGCAACCUGAUACAUAUUUAGAUAUGGAGAACAACUCAAGGACAUACUUGCAAGAGCUUUUUGGUAGCUUUCCAUCAACUGGAUCUGGUACUGAUGCAAUACAGGCUGCAGACACUAGUGAUGGAGAGUAUGAAAUAUAUGAACAAUUUGGUGAUAAUAACUACUAUGAUGACGACGACGACGACGACGAAGACGACGAUGACGACGACGACGACGACGACGACGACGACGAUGAUGAUGAUGGUGGUGGUGGUGGUGGUGGUGGUGUUGGUGGUGAUGAUAGCUAACGUUCCUAACUCCAAAGUUUACAGUUGUCAAAACUUGUACACUACUGUAACAUCUCAGGAGCAAAAAAUUUUAAUGAGACUUCAAAAUAGAUUUCCAGAUUCUUGAAGCUACAAUACGUGGUAGGAUGGGGAAGAUAUACUGCAGUUAAAGUCUUUCUAGCUAGAGAGAAGGGUGACUAGAUAUCUGCAUGUUCCAUUGCAGGUCUUGUUUACAUAUCAGCUCCUAAAUUACCAAUUAUCAGGUAAACUUCUAUAACGUUUUAGUGUAUCAGUAAUGUAUACCAUUUUCCAGUUAACCUCAUACAUGAUGUAGCUUGUGUGAAUGAACAGAGCUACCUAUUAAAUGACAAUUUUGGUACUAGAAUGUCGUACCAUGCUACCAUCAUUUUCUGGUUUCAGGAAGCAUCUUUUAGCCAAACUGAUUUGUGCUUUAGAUAAGGAAUAUAAUGGUAUGAAAAAGACAUUGUCCUUUGUAAAUUAAGAGGAGACAACAAAUUUCCAGGAAUAAUCAUCACAGUUGAAGCAUUAGCUCUGUUUUUGUUCUUUUUCUUAGUGGACUUAAUGUCGCUUCAUGGCUAGUCUGCUAGGGCUGUAAAUGAAUUGGGUCUUAACAAUCUUUUUAUUCAUGCUUGUUUAUUUAUUUUUGAAUCUGCCGGUGUUUGUUAACAAUUUUCUAAAA